GAUGAACGCUGGCGGCGUGCCUAAUACAUGCAAGUCGAGCGAACAGACGAGGAGCUUGCUCCUCUGACGUUAGCGGCGGACGGGUGAGUAACACGUGGAUAACCUACCUAUAAGACUGGGAUAACUUCGGGAAACCGGAGCUAAUACCGGAUAAUAUAUUGAACCGCAUGGUUCAAUAGUGAAAGACGGUUUUGCUGUCACUUAUAGAUGGAUCCGCGCCGCAUUAGCUAGUUGGUAAGGUAACGGUUUACCAAGGCAACGAUGCGUAGCCGACCUGAGAGGGUGAUCGGCCACACUGGAACUGAGACACGGUCCAGACUCCUACGGGAGGCAGCAGUAGGGAAUCUUCCGCAAAGGGCGAAAGCCUGACGGAGCAACGCCGCGUGAGUGAUGAAGGUCUUCGGAUCGUAAAACUCUGUUAUUAGGGAAGAACAAAUGUGUAAGUAACUAUGCACGUCUUGACGGUACCUAAUCAGAAAGCCACGGCUAACUACGUG
rnacentral:rRNA from 1 species